UAGCAAAUAUCUCAACAGCGACCAUGUUUUUGCCUCUGCUGCUCAGAUAAGCUGGAAUUGCACAGGUCCAUACACUGCAGAACACCAGCAUGCUGAAUGUAAUGUAUUUGGCUUCAUUAAAGUUGUCCGGCAAGGUCCGUACCAUAUAUGCUAGAAUGAAACUCAUAGUGGUCAGAAGCCCCAUAUAAGUCAACAUAGAAUAAAAGGCCAAGACAGAGCCUUCAUUACAUUGAAUGAUGAUCUUCCCAGGAGAGGAA